rnacentral:lncRNA from 1 species
UGGUUCCUGAAGAACCUAGAAAGUUAAUACAUGAAUUCCCGAAGAAUUCAUAAUCUUGGUUCCUGAAGAACCUAUUCUUAGUUCCUGAAGAACUUAGACAUUUAAUACGUGAAUUCCCGAAGAAUUCAUAAUCUUAGUUCCCGAAGAACUUAGAAAACAAUUGAUUUUGUUCUUGAAGAACUUACGAAAUAUCACCAUUUAUCACCAUGCAUCCCUAAUGGAUUGCACAUCAAAAUACUUUUAUGUGUUAUAUAGUUCCUGAAGAACUAAUAAAACAACUUCUUUUUCUCUUCAAUGAAUUCUAGAUGAAUUCAAUAUUCCUACAUCCUU